rnacentral:rRNA from 1 species
UACGUAGGGGGCAAGCGUUGUCCGGAUUAUUGGGCGUAAAGAGCGUGUAGGCGGCCAGGUAGGUCAGCUGUGAAAACUCGAGGCUCAACCUCGAGACGUCGGUUGAAACCACCUGGCUAGAGUCCGGAAGAGGAGAGUGGAAUUCCUGGUGUAGCGGUGAAAUGCGCAGAUAUCAGGAAGAACACCCGUGGCGAAGGCGGCCUGCUGGGCAGUAGCUGACGCUGAUGCG